rnacentral:rRNA from 1 species
CGUGGGUAAUCUGCCUGUAAGACGGGGAUAACUCCGGGAAACCGGGGCUAAUACCGGAUAAUAAGAAGAAACGCAUGUUUCUUUUUUGAAAGUCGGUUUCGACUGACACUUACAGAUGAGCCCGCGGCGCAUUAGCUAGUUGGUGAGGUAACGGCUCACCAAGGCGACGAUGCGUAGCCGACCUGAGAGGGUGAUCGGCCACACUGGGACUGAAACACGGCCCAGACUCCUACGGGAGGCAGCAGUAGGGAAUCUUCGGCAAUGGGCGAAAGCCUGACCGAACAACGCCGCGUGAGCGAUGAAGGCCUUCGGGUCGUAAAGCUCUGUUGUUAGAGAAGAACAAGUACGAAAGUAACUGCUCGUACCUUGACGGUACCUAACCAGAAAGCCACGGCUAACUACGUGCCAGCAGCCGCGGUAAUACGUAGGUGGCAAGCGUUAUCCGGAAUUAUUGGGCGUAAAGCGCGCGCAGGCGGUCUCUUAAGUCUGAUGUGAAAGCCCACGGCUCAACCGUGGAGGGUCAUUGGAAACUGGGAGACUUGAGUGCAGGA